AUUGUGGAUUCAUUAUAGGUUUAAGCUAUACAUAGGAUAAGAUAGAUAUUGUGGAUUCAUUAAGCUAUACAUAGGAUAAGAUAGAUAUUGUGGAUUCAUUAUUUUUCUUGUGGUAUUAGAUUUCAAGGAUUUUGUUAGUAUAAAAUUAAAUGAACCACAAAUUCAAAUCUUUAAAGAAAAAAAACUUCCAAUAAACCUAUAUACAUAUAUAUGCAGGAUUUGUCAAACCUAACAAGUAGACACAAUCAAAGUGCUGGAUAGCACCUCUGGAAAGUUUGCAACUGUAGCUGUGCAUUAUUCCAAAAAGGUUAUAGACGUGUAUUAUUUCAAAAAUGUAUUUCAUCACAGCUUGGAUGUUUUAAACUAAACCAUUGUCUCGUCAGUAAUUAUCAAAAAAUCACUUUUUUCGUGUUUGUCAUAAAAAGUUUUGAUAUUUUCUAUUGUAACCUAAAACUGUAGAUCUAAAAUAUUGAAAUAUACAGAAAGCUCUGUUAAUUUCUUGUUAAGUACCCAUGCCAUGUCAACAUCAAGGGCCUGUGAAUUAGUAUUUUUCUAUUGGUUUAG
rnacentral:lncRNA from 1 species